CAAGGUUGUCAAUGGUCCAAAGGAGCAUAACUGGUGGGGAGGGAGCAGUCCCUUUGUGCUUUCCAGGCAUCACUCCUGCGCAGCUCAACCAGAAACUUAAAAAAAAAUGGAAUAGGAGGCAUUCACGUGUGGAGGAGUGACGGCAGGGCAUCGUGAGCACAGCGCCCUGUUUCUGUAAGAGCGGGAAGCCGGUUGCUCACAAUGAGAACAUGGAGGAUCAUGCACGCAGCAGCCUCGGAGCAGGAGGAGGUGUGGCCGCGGCCUCCAGGAGCGAUUCGGAAGCUCAAGGUGAAAGCGGAGAGAGAAACAAGACCCUGCUGUUUAGAUGCCAUUUAAAUAAAGCUGGAGAAGGCAAAGUCAUCAGCGGUGAC